GAGGUUGUGGCUUAGUGGUAGAGCGUUCACCUAGCAAGUGCGAGGCCCUGGGUUUGAUCCUCAGCAUCA
rnacentral:tRNA from 1 species